AUGGUUAAGUGACUAAGCGUACACGGUGGAUGCCUUGGCAGUCAGAGGCGAUGAAAGGCGUAAUAACUUGCGAUAAGCCCAGAUUAGGUAGUAAUAACCUUUUGAGUCUGGGAUUCCUGAAUGGGGAAACCCACGUGCAUAAGCACGUAUCCUGUUGUGAAUACAUAGCAACAGGAGGCAAACCGGGGGAACUGAAACAUCUAAGUACCCCGAGGAAGAGAAAUCAACCGAGAUUCCGAAAGUAGCGGCGAGCGAAAUUGGAUUAGCCCUUAAGCUUUUAAUGAGACAGAUGAAGGUUCUGGAAAGUGCCGCAAUAAAGGGUGAUAGCCCCGUAAUCGACAUCUCAUAAUCAGUGAAAACGAGUAGGGCGGGACACGUGAUAUCCUGUCUGAAUAUGGGGGGACCAUCCUCCAAGGCUAAAUACUACUGACUGACCGAUAGUGAACCAGUACCGUGAGGGAAAGGCGAAAAGAACCCCUGUGAGGGGAGUGAAAUAGAACCUGAAACCGUGUACGUACAAGCAGUAGGAGCACCUUCGUGGUGUGACUGCGUACCUUUUGUAUAAUGGGUCAGCGACUUAAUUUUAGUAGCAAGGUUAACCGUUUAGGGGAGCCGUAGGGAAACCGAGUCUUAACUGGGCGUACAGUUGCUAGGAUUAGACCCGAAACCAGGUGAUCUAGCCAUGGGCAGGUUGAAGUUGAGUAACAUCAACUGGAGGACCGAACCGACUAAUGUUGAAAAAUUA
rnacentral:rRNA from 1 species